AUUGAACGCUGGCGGCAUGCCUUACACAUGCAAGUCGAACGGCAGCACGGGUGCUUGCACCUGGUGGCGAGUGGCGAACGGGUGAGUAAUACAUCGGAACAUGUCCUGUAGUGGGGGAUAGCCCGGCGAAAGCCGGAUUAAUACCGCAGACGAUCUACGGAUGAAAGCGGGGGACCUUCGGGCCUCGCGCUAUAGGGUUGGCCGAUAGCUGAUUAGCUAGUUGGUGGGGUAUAGGCCUACCAAGGCGACGAUCAGUAGCUGGUCUGAGAGGACGACCAGCCACACUGGGACUGAGACACGGCCCAGACUCCUACGGGAGGCAGCAGUGGGGAAUUUUGGACAAUGGGCGAAAGCCUAAUCCAGCAAUGCCGCGUGUGUGAAGAAGGCCUUCUGGUUGUAAAGCACUUUUGUCCGGAAAGAAAUCCUUGGCUCUAAUACAGUCUGGGGAUGACGGUACCGGAAGAAUAAGCACCGGCUAACUACGUG
rnacentral:rRNA from 1 species